AUACUUACCUGGACGGGGUCGAUGGGCGAUCAUAAAGGCUCAUGGCCUAGGUAGGUAACCUCCAUUGCACUUGAGGAGGGGUGCCCACCUAACAUCUUCCCAAAGUGGAAGAGUGUACGUCAUAAUUUGUGUUAGUGGGGGUCUGCGUUCGCGCAACCCCUAA
rnacentral:snRNA from 1 species